rnacentral:rRNA from 1 species
GACCUAGGGAGGCAGCAGUGGGGAAUAUUGGGCAAUGGGCGCAAGCCUGACCCAGCAACGCCGCGUGAAGGAAGAAGGCUUUCGGGUUGUAAACUUCUUUUAAGAGGGAAGAGCAGAAGACGGUACCUCUUGAGUAAGCCACGGCUAACUACGUGCCAGCAGCCGCGGUAAUACGUAGGUGGCAAGCGUUGUCCGGAUUUACUGGGUGUAAAGGGCGUGUAGCCGGGAGUGCAAGUCAGAUGUGAAAUCCCGCGGCUCAACCUUGGAACUGCAUUUGAAACUGUUGGUCUUGAGUAUCGGAGAGG